rnacentral:rRNA from 1 species
UACGAGGGGGGCAAGCGUUGUUCGGAAUUAUUGGGCGUAAAGGGUGCGUAGGCGGUUUGAUAAGUCAUCUGUGAAAUCUCUGGGCUCAACCCAGAGUCUGCAGGCGAAACUGUCGGGCUUGAGUGUGGGAGAGGUGAGUGGAAUUUCCGGUGUAGCGGUGAAAUGCGUAGAUAUCGGAAGGAACACCUGUGGCGAAAGCGGCUCACUGGACCAUAACUGACGCUGAUGCACGAAAGCUAGGGGAGCAAACAGG